AUGAAUAGUACAACACCUGCAAUUUUGAGUUGGAAUGUACGAGGGCUGAAUUCGCCGGCGAAGAGAACUGCAAUGCGUCAAGUUGCAGAAGCGCAGCAUGUAUCCAUACUCUAUCUUUAGGAAACCAAGCUGGAAAGUUGGCAGCAGUCCACUGUCAGGGAGCUAGGAGGAAACACAUUAGAAGGAUGCGCCGUUCUUCCAGCAAUGGGCACCAGGGGAGGAGUUGCCAUACUAUGGAACAAGAGAAGCGUCAGUUUUGCCUCUCAAGCAGUCGGGUGUUUCUCGAUCACGGGCAAAGUCACGGUGCUACACGACGGAUCUUGGUUCUGGCUGACAACAGUCUACGGCCCCGUACAUGACACAUGCAAAGAUGCAUUCCUUGCUGAACUUGCCCAUGCAGCGCCACCAUCUGGAGAGCCGUGGCUGAUAAAUGGGGAUUUUAACAUCAUUUAUGAAGCCCGUGAUAAAAGCAACCUCAAUCUGAACCGGAGGAUCAUGGGCAUGUUCAGAACAGCAAUCGACAGAGCAAGCCUUAGAGAAAUUAAGUGC
rnacentral:rRNA from 1 species